CCUACGGGAGGCAGCAGUGAGGAAUAUUGGUCAAUGGGCGGAAGCCUGAACCAGCCAAGUAGCGUGCGGGAUGAAGGCCCUACGGGUCGUAAACCGCUUUUGCACGGGGAUAACACCCUCCACUUGUGGAGGUCUGCAGGUACCGUGCGAAUAAGGGCCGGCUAAUUCCGUGCCAGCAGCCGCGGUAAUACGGAAAGCCCGAGCGUUAUCCGGAUUCAUUGGGCUUAAAGGGUGCGUAGGCGGGCGUUCAAGUCAGCUGGAAAAUCGCGCGGCUCAACCGCGCCCCGCAGUUGAAACUGGACGACUAGAGUACACAACAGGCAGGCGGAAUUCGUGGUGUAGCGGUGAAAUGCAUAGAUAUCACGAGGAACCCCGAUUGCGAAGGCAGCCUGCCGGGGUGCGACUGACGCUGAGGCUCGAAGGUGCGGGUAUCAAACAGGAUUAGAUACCCCGGUAGUC
rnacentral:rRNA from 1 species